GUCAUUUAAAUUCGUUUCGUUUUUAUGUCAGGUGAAAUACGUUCAACACACUAACUUUCCGCUUGGACGAUCAACAAAGGUGUUUGUUGUUUAUCGGUCACCAUAAUCAUGUCAUUUUAACUGUUAUACAAACAAAUUUGUUUACUCAGCUUUAAUCUCUUUUGAAAAUGAUUAGGUUACAUAAGAAACAAUCCGAUCCGAAUUUGUAUCAUUAGGUCUGCAUCUUUCGAAAAUUCUUACUUUUGAACUUCGAGACAUUGGGGUCAAUUUACAUUCAUUUUACAUCGACGGGACUAUAAAAUGUGGUCAACUUAACUGAGUAUUCAAAUCGACCGAGUUCAACUCAUCAGAGGUAAUUAUGCAUUGAUCAAAUGGGAAUUUUACCGGGACCGAGAAAUUACUUCGACUCAUCCGAGUUUUCGACACAACGAGCUUACAUGCAUGGCAAUAUAAAUAUCAAAACAGUGUCUUUCAACAACUGUAAAUCUUUUGUUUUAAGGAAGAGUAAUGGAUGUCUACACAAAAAUAACAGAAGCUGAAUUAAAGAAGGAAUAUGCACCAGAAAUGGUUGGAGGAGUUUGGAGACUACAAUUCAUUUUCACGAAAAUAUUAAUAAAAUGCUUCGCUGAGCGCAGCCUGAUACAACUGCAGAGGUCGAACCCUGAACAGUUGGUGCAAAUUUGGAUAUAAUAUUCAAGCUUGAUACUGUCUGAAUUUUGACAUAAUAUAGGUCUCUGACACAAAAAAAAUGUGGUAAAAGAUCUUACAAAUAUUUUGCGCAAUACUGUGCAAUUGAAGAUUACUUCUUGAAACUUUUACAAAAUUUGAAA